GUUAUCGAGUGAUCGGGCUCGGCCCGAUCCUCCCACCCUUUGUGUACCUACCUCUGUUGCUUUGGCGGGCCGCGGUCCUCCGCGGCCGCCCCCCUCCCCGGGGGGGUGGCCAGCGCCCGCCAGAGGACCAUCAAACUCCAGUCAGUAAACGAUGCAGUCUGAAAAACAUUUAAUAAACUAAAACUUUCAACAACGGAUCUCUUGGUUCUGGCAUCGAUGAAGAACGCAGCGAAAUGCGAUAAGUAAUGUGAAUUGCAGAAUUCAGUGAAUCAUCGAAUCUUUGAACGCACAUUGCGCCCUUUGGUAUUCCGAAGGGCAUGCCUGUUCGAGCGUCAUUACAACCCUCAAGCUCUGCUUGGUAUUGGGCACCGUCCUUUGCGGGCGCGCCUCAAAGACCUCGGCGGUGGCGUCUUGCCUCAAGCGUAGUAGAACAUACAUCUCGCUUCGGAGCGCAGGGCGUCGCCCGCCGGACGAACCUUCUGAACUUUUCUCAAGGUUGACCUCGGAUCAGGUAGGGAUACCCGCUGAACUUAAGCAUAUCAAAA
rnacentral:rRNA from 1 species